AUUGAACGCUGGCGGCAGGCCUAACACAUGCAAGUCGAGCGAGUGGCGGACGGGUGAGUAAUGUAUGGGGAUCUGCCAGCUAGAGGGGGAUAACUACUGGAAACGGUGGCUAAUACCGCAUACUAUCGAAUGAACCCAGAUGGGAUUAGCUAGUAGGGGGGGUAAAGGCUCACCAAGGCGACGAUCGCUAGCUGGUCUGAGAGGAUGAUCAGCCACACUGGAACGGAGACACGGCCCAGACUCCUACGGGAGGCAGCAGUGGGGAAUAUUGCACAAGGGGCGCAAGCCUGAUGCAGCCAUGCCGCGUGUAUGAAGAAGGCCUUGGGGUUGUAAAGUACUUUCAGCGGGGAGGCGUUACCCGCAGAAGAAGCACCGGCUAACUCCGUGCCAGCAGCCGCGGUAAUAC
rnacentral:rRNA from 1 species